CAAGAGUAAUGGAAAAGGCAUCUGUGUGUGACCAAAGCUUAACUGAAAACAGGCUUUCUCUUCUCAGUCUGGGAAAGCAAGGAGCUGCAGCCAGGGAGAGAACAAGCAGAGAUGCUCAUCUGGGGAUGGAAUGACAUGAGCCCCGCUGCAGCCCAGAAGUACACAAUCAGUGGCUGAAGGGCACAACCAGUUCCCCCAAGAUUGGGGUGUGGAAGGCACGACCUCUCAGGCUAGGAGAUUUUCUUUUUCAGCAACCUCUACACCCACUGUGGGGCUUGAACUCAACCCUGAGAUCAGGAGUGGCAUGCGCCAGCCCAGUGCCUUGCUCCAAAUGACACAUCGACUGCACGAUGCCGGUUUUCUUACGUCACCCUCGCUCCCGCACUAGCUCGUGGCUGUUUUGAGGUUGGCAGGUUUCUCCUCUUUGGAGUCGCACGCCUAACACGUCACAGGAAAUCGCUGCUGAAUUUACCGGGAUUCACAUGGCCAUCAGUUCCGGGUUAGGUUCGGCUGCACGUAACGCAGACCCGACCUACAGCGGCUCGAGCAAAAAUCCGACUCCCGUAAUAGAAAGUACAGGGAUGGCAGGCCCGGGUCAGCGCAGCGCUCGCGGGGAAUCGCCGAGGGUGUAGGCAGCUUCCGCACCUCGCGCAUCCGGCCACACACCUCACGGCGAAAGAUGGCGGCCGGAAGUCCGCACUCACCGCUGGAAGGGAAGGAAAGGGCAAAGGGCAAGAGGCCGGAGCCGCGUGAUUGCCCCAAGCCCGAGCCAGCAACCUCUGCCUGCAUCCCAUUGGUCAGAAGGGGAUCACGUGGCCUCCCCUAGCUGCAGUGGAUUCUGGGAGGCUGAGCGGUUUUAACCCAGAGCGCCGCAGCAUCCCUUAAUAAAACGAAGCUUCUCUUGUUAAGGAAGCGAGGGAUGAUGAGUAGCCGUAUUGGUCACAAGCGCGUAAAGGUCAAAAACACAUUUCCGGGCAGCCCGGGUGGCUCAGCGGUUUAGCACCGCCUUCGGCCCAGGGCGUGACCCUGGAGACCCGGGAUCGAGUCCCACGUCGGGCUCCCGGUGCAUGGAGCCUGCUUCUCCCUCUGCCUGUGUCUCUGCCUCUCUCUCCGUGUGUGUCUCUGAUGAAUAAAAAACAAACA